AUUGAACGCUGGCGGCAGGCCUAACACAUGCAAGUCGAACGAGGGGCGGACGGGUGAGUAAUGUCUGGGAAACUGCCCGAUGGAGGGGGAUAACUACUGGAAACGGUGGCUAAUACCGCCUACUAUCAGAUGUGCCCAGAUGGGAUUAGCGUGUUGGUGGGGUAACGGCUCACCUAGGCGACGAUCCCUAGCUGGUCUGAGAGGAUGACCAGCCACACUGGGACUUAGACACGGUCCAGACUCCUACGGGAGGCAGCAGUGGGGAAUAUUGCACAAUUGGCGCAAGCCUGAUGCAUCCAUGCCGCGUGUAUGAAGAAGGCCUUCGGGUUGUAAAGUACUUUCAGCGGGGAGGCGUUACCCGCAGAAGAAGCACCGGCUAACUCCGUGCCAGCAGCCGCGGUAAUAC
rnacentral:rRNA from 1 species